UGUAUCGAGUUGAAAACUAUCACCAAACUCUUCCAAUCCAUUUAUGUACAAAUCAGGGGAGCUAAGCUUUUCAGAAUGACACACUAAAUCAUUUUUAACUCGGGUGUUCACAUGUAAGCCACCUUCAUUCUCAUUUCUGCUGCUGAAUUUCCUAAAACUAAACAAGCUUCCAUAGAUAUGCCUGCAGCAUGAAGAGAUGUCAAUGUACCUGCAUAUGUUGAGGCAGACUGCUGAAGUGACUGAAGCUGUCCUCGGCUACAACCAUACUUCUUUGCAACAGCUCCAAGUGGUUCUUCGCUUACCAGCAAUUAAUUUGCCACUAACGGAACGGGCCAGGAAACCUUCUUGAAUGCCUACCAUCUCAGCCACUCGCUUCAUUGCAGACGGUAGUUGCUCCCACAAACAGAAGAACUGGUACCAGUCUAUUGUCGUCCAGUCCACGUACACAGAGGAUAUGGAGAUCAUUUUCCAACACAAAUCCUUUCAUUGCUCUCUGAAGAUCUGCAAAAAUCCCCAGGGCUUCUGGGGGUGAUAAAGAUGAGGACAGAGUUGCAGAUCCCAGAUGCGUGGGGCAGUACCUCUCCACUG